rnacentral:lncRNA from 1 species
CAGCAGGUAAAGAAUUAUUCCAGAAUCACAGGAACGGGUGGGCGGGCGGGAAGCAGAGACCCCGGGUCUGUCUGGGUUUGGGCUCCGUUCUGCUCCCUGCCGAAGGAGCUUGGGCAGGUCACUGUCUUCUUCCUAAGCCUCAGAUUCUUCCUGUAUAAAAUGAGGACUGCAGUCUCUACCGAAUCCCCAGGAUAGCUGCGAGGAUUAGAUCCAAUGAUGAUGAUGACGUGGGGGAGAAUAAUGACGAUGAGCAAUGCUUGUGAGCGGAGCGCUCGCUUCGCUUCGUGCCAGGUGCCGUGUGACUCAGCACAGGAGAGCCUAGAGGUCGUUAGGCGAGGUGGGCCGCGGUUCAGGACCAGCUCACCGGCAGAGACUCAAAGCCCCUGCAGCCCCGGUCGGUUGGUGCCCGGCUCCAGGCCUCCCAGACGAGCUCAGGGCUCCCCUGCCUGUGCUGGGGCUGGAGGCCGGGGGAGGGACAAGAUGGCCUUGGGCUGUCCCCUGCGCAGGGCUCCCAUGUUCCCUCGGCCCGGAUCAGAUUUCCGGCCCCCGGGGAGGCCCGAGGGGGCUGGUUGAUGGAGGAAGCAUGUGUCCUGGCCUGGGCAGCUGGACCUGGGGGCCUUGCCCUGGACCUGGGGCCUUUCCUGCCAAGGGAAUAUCCCAGCACAGGAAGGAAGGAAGUGGGGAGGGGGAGGAAGAGGGGGAGGGAGAAGGGACCCGACAGGCCCCAGCUGGGAGCACGUUCUCUCAGGGGCUGGCCAAGAAGAGAGGACAGCUGGGCUGGCCUGGCCGGGAGGCCCUUGGCUGGGGCUUGGAUGUGGGCGAGGUGCGGGGGGAGGCGGCGAGGAAAGAGGAGGUGGCCCGCCCCGUCUCUCUGGCUCCUCAUCUGUGUGACAGGAAAAAUGACUGCAUCUGCCCUGAGGACCGCUGUGCACAUUCUCUGAGUUGAUUCAUCAAAAGCCUUUAGCAGAGCGUGGGACUUGGAGGCCACCAUGCACAGAAGCGCAUUUGUGGAAGAGGAGGUUGGUGACUUGGUGGGGCCUCCCUUCUCUGUCAUCAAGGACGCCCUCCCGGAGUU